GCCCGGACCCGGACCCGGACCGGUUGCAUCCGGGCAGGGUCCGGUCAUUGCAAUAUCUGGACCCAGCCCGAAAUUUUGCCAUCCCUAGGAGUGGCUAGCAUCAGAGUUGGUUUGAGGAUAAUUUCAUCUUUCAUCAAUAUAAGAAUAAUUUAGAUAAAUUUAUUUACCCAUAUUUGAAAUUAUUAGAUAUACUAGGAACCUUAAUUCAUAAACACUAAUAAUUUAUUAAUAUAUAUAUAUAUACACACACACACAAAAGGCAGCAUGUCUCAUUUGCUACAUCAUUUCCAUGAACUUUAAUUUUUUUUAAUUUUAAAUAUGAUAAGAAACUAGAAAAGAAAAAAAAAUCGAGAUGAAUGCAUAAAAUGGUCACAUCAUAGUUCUUAACAAUUAUGGAUACGCUAGAGCCAAUUUUCAUACUGAAGACAAAAGAAUUAACUCCACCAAUUCACCAUGAAAGCAAUUUAUUUGAAUUGUAAACAAAGAAUAUCCACAAGUGACUUGUGAGAGGAUAUCACCGAACCCUUGGUUGAGAAGGAUAGAAUAAUGAAAGCAAAGGGGAAGAUCAUUACGUGCAAUGGAAGGGAAUAAGAUGCUCCAAUCACAUGAUCCAUUGGUCCUACUUAUCGUAUGACUUUAAUUUUUGUUGUUAGUAUGACUUUUAUUUUAUUUUAUUUUUCAAUCAAUCAUCUCUUAAUAGUAUAGUUGCCAAUGCUAUUCUAAAUUUUUGUUUGGAAUUGAGGUGAUGUAACUUUUAAAUUACAACUAUUAUAAAAAAAUUA
rnacentral:lncRNA from 1 species